AGUGAACGCUGGCGGUAGGCCUAACACAUGCAAGUCGAACGGCAGCACAGUAAGAGCUUGCUCUUACGGGUGGCGAGUGGCGGACGGGUGAGGAAUACAUCGGAAUCUACUUUUUCGUGGGGGGUAACGUAGGGAAACUUACGCUAAUACCGCAUACGACCUACGGGUGAAAGCAGGGGGUCUUCGGACCUUGCGCGAUUGAAUGAGCCGAAGUCGGAUUAGCUAGUUGGCGGGGUAAAGGCCCACCAAGGCGACGAUCCGUAGCUGGUCUGAGAGGAUGAUCAGCCACACUGGAACUGAGACACGGUCCAGACUCCUACGGGAGGCAGCAGUGGGGAAUAUUGGACAAUGGGCGCAAGCCUGAUCCAGCCAUACCGCGUGGGUGAAGAAGGCCUUCGGGUUGUAAAGCCCUUUGUUGGGAAAGAAAAGCAGCAGGUUAAUACCCCGCUGUUCUGACGGUACCCAAAGAAUAAGCACCGGCUAACUUCGUG
rnacentral:rRNA from 1 species